rnacentral:rRNA from 1 species
GACAGAGGGUGCAAACGUUGUUCGGAAUCACUGGGCGUAAAGCGCACGUAGGCGGAUGUUUAAGUCAGGGGGGAAAUGCCGAGGCUCAACCUUGGAACUGCCUUUGAUACUGGGCAUCUGGAGUCCGGGAGAGGUGAGUGGAACUGCGAGUGUAGAGGUGAAAUUCGUAGAUAUUCGCAAGAACACCAGUGGCGAAGGCGGCUCACUGGCCCGGUACUGACGCUGAGGUGCGAAAGCGUGGGGAGCAAACAGG